rnacentral:rRNA from 1 species
AGUCACUGACAUUAGAUACCCCUGUAGUCCCAGCCGUAAACUAUGCGCGUUAGGUGUAUCGGUGACUACGAGUUACCGAGGUGCCGAAGGGAAACCGUGAAACGUGCCGCCUGGGAAGUACGGUCGCAAGGCUGAAACUUAAAGGAAUUGGCGGGGAGCACCACAACAGGUGGAGCCUGCGGUUUAAUUGGAUUCAACGCCGGACAUCUCACCGGAUAAGACAGCUGAAUGAUUGUCAAUCUGAAGGUUUUACAUGACUAGCUG